rnacentral:rRNA from 1 species
GUGGGGAAUUGUUCGCAAUGGGCGAAAGCCUGACGACGCAACGCCGCGUGGAGGAUGAAGGUCUUCGGAUUGUAAACUCCUGUUGACCGGGACGAAUGGCUCCUGGACUAACACCCCAGGGGAUUGACGGUACCGGUUGAGGAAGCCCCGGCUAACUCUGUGCCAGCAGCCGCGGUAAUACAGAGGGGGCGAGCGUUGUUCGGAAUUACUGGGCGUAAAGGGCGCGUAGGUGGCCGACUGAGUCCGACGUGAAAUCCCCCGGCUCAACUGGGGAACUGCGUCGGAUACUGGUUGGCUCGAAUCCGGGAGAGGGAUGUGGAAUUCCAGGUGUAGCGGUGAAAUGCGUAGAUAUCUGGAGGAACACCGGUGGCGAAGGCGGCAUCCUGGACCGGAAUUGACGCUGAGGCGCGAAAGCCAGGGGAGCAAACGGGAUUAGAAACCCCGGUAGUCC